rnacentral:rRNA from 1 species
GACAGAGGGUGCAAACGUUGUUCGGAAUUACUGGGCGUGAAGCGCGUGUAGGCGGCUAAGUAAGUCGGGCGUGAAAUCCCACGGCUCAACCGUGGAAGUGCACUCGAAACUGCAUAGCUAGAGUCCUGGAGAGGAAGGUGGAAUGCUUGGUGUAGAGGUGAAAUUCGUAGAUAUCAAGCGGACCCCCGGUGCGAAGGCGGCCUUCUGGACAGUGACUGACGCUGAGACGCGAAAGCGUGGGGAGCGAACAGG